rnacentral:rRNA from 1 species
UACGUAGGGGGCGAGCGUUGUCCGAAGUUACUGGGCGUAAAGAGCGCGUAGGCGGGUUUUUAAGUGAGGGGUGAAAGGUUCAGGGCUCAACCCGAACACUGCCUUUCAUACUGGGGACCUUGAGUGCGGGAGAGGCGAGUGGAAUGGUCGGUGUAGCGGUGAAAUGCGUAGAUAUCGAUCGGAACACCCAUGGCGAAGGCAGCUCGCUGGCCUGCAACUGACGCUGAGGCGCGAAAGCGUGGGGAGCAAACAGG